CCUACGGGAGGCUGCAGUGGGGAAUAUUGCACAAUGGGCGCGAGCCUGAUGCAGCCAUGCCGCGUGUGUGAAGAAGGCCUUCGGGUUGUAAAGCACUUUCAGCGGGGAGGAAGGCGUUAAGGUUAAUAACCUUGUCGAUUGACGUUACCCGCAGAAGAAGCACCGGCUAACUCCGUGCCAGCAGCCGCGGUAAUACGGAGGGUGCAAGCGUUAAUCGGAAUUACUGGGCGUAAAGCGCACGCAGGCGGUCUGUCAAGUCGGAUGUGAAAUCCCCGGGCUCAACCUGGGAACUGCAUUCGAAGCUGUCAGGCUAGAGUCUGGUAGAGGGGGGUAGAAUGCCAGGGGUAGCGGUGAAAUGCGUAGAGAUCUGGAGGAAUAACGGUGGCGAAGGCGGCCCCCUGGACAAAGACUGACGCUCAGGUGCGAAAGCGUGGGGAGCAAACAGGAUUAAUACCCGGGUAGUC
rnacentral:rRNA from 1 species